AUUAGGCAUGGACUUGUGUAAAGUUUGUUAUGUUUUAAAUUCUUGGUUCUUGUUAUCCACCACUAGUAACAUUUACAUAGACUCUAUAAAAAUACAUCAGAUUCAGGGGCCCUAAGAAAAAUGUGUCCUAGAAUAUGAAGCUGCCUGUCUUUCUCCACAUGUAUGAUAUAUUUAUAUCUCUAUAUUUUUAUCUCUACCUAUCUAUCAUUUCUCUAAUUGUUUGUUGGUUUUCUUUUCAUGCUGCUGUUAUAGUAUUAAUAGUAAAUAUAUUGCUUCUUUGAGGUGCAAUAAUAUUUUUGGAGCUGGGAAAUAGGGGGCAACAUCAAAAGAACUGAUAAAAGCAAACUCAGUAAUCACCCUAAUGUUUUGGCAUAUUUCCCUAAUCUAAAUACAGAAAGCAAGUCCUUUAAAGGAUGAGAAGUAAAAGCAUGAGAGGAACUUUCCAUGGACUCUCUUUUUAUCAGCCACAUUUUAUCUGUUGGCUAUUUAUAUUUCUGCUCAUUGUAGCAUCAAGAAGCUGCAGUUUGGGAAAAUGAAUCCUUGAAAACGCAUUUGGAAAUCACUCAAACUUGAUUUUACACCUAGAAACCUCAGCAAAUUUUUCAGAAAUUAUGAGAUCUGCUCAAGUGUAGAAAUGUCUAUUCAUUACUAAAUCUGCCAAAAAACUAGUAUAAAGAGGAGUGGGAAAAGGAAAAACCUUCAUCGUUUGAGAGUGGCUGGAGUUUGACCCAGUUGCCUUCGAAGAAUGGAAGACCUUCCCUUAGGAGAGCACUUCAGUUUUAUUUAGAAAAACACCUUUUCAAGUAUGAAAAAGCUGUGCCUUAGACCAUUGUGCAGAGAAAAAAAACAAGAAAAGGAAUAAUUAAAGAAACAAAGACUUCAUUCAGCAAAAGGAGGAAAUUGCAUGCAAGUUUUGGCUGGCAGGCCAAAGGACUGGAGGAUUGAGGAACUAGAAUGAGGAAGAUUUGGUGAAAGAUCUACAAUGAUAAGUAAAUUAAAAAUUGGUAGAAGAAUAGCAAGAUGGAAAGGAAUGGAGGAACCGAGAAGAGAGGGUGCAAAUAGAAAAGGAAAAAAUACUGCAAAAACUCAAAAUGAGAAAAAGAAUGAGAGACAUAAACUUUCGACAGAAGGAAAUAUUAAGCUCUGCAACAAGCAGCUGCCAACUGUGAUUUGUGCUGGUCUCGAAGAAAAGAACCAGGAGAACAAUGUUUCUUAAUCCACAGGGGCUGCAAUUACUCUUGUAUUCACCAUUUAUAUACCAAAAGUAAAUUAAUUGUAAUAAGACAUUGUUACUGAAUAAAUGUCUCCUGCUUGGAAAAUCAGUGCUUCCGCUUUGCCCCUUCCUUUAUGUUCUGGCAGGAGAGCUGAACAUUACUGUGGUACAAUGUUCUAUUCUACUGACGUUAUCUUUUAAUUAUAUCACCAUCAAACCCAACUUUCAAAGCACUUAAGGAAGUAUUUCCUAAAAAUGUUUGCCUUCAAUAGGAACAUGUACAAUAGGAAAGCAGAAAUGUUUCAAAUCCAUGAUUCAAAACAUGUUAAAGUUGCUGGACUCCCAAGGGUGACAGCAAAAGUUAUCAUUUAGACUUCUAUUAAACACAAUCUAAUUACAGUACAAAAAUGCUAGGGAAUAGGGAGAAAAGUUUUGGGGGGCGGUUAUAAGAUGUGUAAGAUAUGGAAAGGUUAAAUGUUGAAAUGAGAUAAAAAAUAUGCUAAUAUACUUUUCUAAAUAGGAUUAGGCAACUUGCAUAUAAGAAAUAAAAUGUACCUAUUUUAACUUUCAAAUGUUCCUUUCUGCUAUUGAAAGUUUUAUUUCCUUUUCAACAAAACUCUUCCUUGAGGUCUAGGGCUACCAUUGCAAACACUUCUGUUUGUUUCCUUCUUAAAAGCAAGACCCCUUCUACCCUCUGUGUCCAAUGGUCUCUAGGAUAAGACAAUAGUUAGACUAUACUCAUCUAUAAAAUGGGAAAAUAAUUGUAUCUACCAUGAGUGAGUUGAUAUGUAUAAGGCAUUUGAAACAAUAUGUGGCUCAUUGUAAAUGUUGUACAAGUGUUUCAUACAACUAUUAUUAAGGAUAAGAUUCUCCUAAAGCUUUGGAAGCUCCAUAAACAAUUUUUCCAUUAAUUUUCCCAUAUUUCUUUCUAUAACAUUGGUUGCCUUGUAGCAACAUAUUUUAAGUGUCACAAUAUCAUAUAUAGUGAAAAUUAACCAGUUGUCUGUUAGGGCUAGUUCCAGAGAUCAACAGUCUCUUGUUCUUAACAUCCCCUGUUUAUUUAUGCCAAAAAAAUUUCAAGUAGAAAUCCUCUUAUAUUCUUCAGUAUAGAAGAUUAAAGAUAACAACAGCAAAGAGAGGAGAAAAUGGCUUGAGAGGGAAAGAAAGAAAAUGUGUCUGUGCUGAAAGAAGGGAUACCCUCUUCUAAGGUGGAGACAUCAAGGGGUCUCAGAGACAGAGAAAGGACCCUUUCCUUCACAUCAGCAAAAUUAACCACGUCAACAAUGCCAAGACAGUGACAGUUGUUGCAGCCAAACCAUUUUCUUCUUUCAGAGGUUGCAGAGUUUCUUUGGAUUCUCCUCUUCAUCGCCUGUGUUUUUGUCUUCUUUACUCUCAUGUACAGACUCCCCCCAAUACCACCCCUUUCGAUAAUCUUAUCUUACUAUCUAUAGUACCUAUUGACUUCUUUUUCUUUAGUUGUUGGUAUAUCAAAUAACACAUUAUUUGUGUUAAAGUUCGGUCAGAAUAUCCACAAUUGUGUGUCCCAAACACAGGAUAACUGUUUCUGGAUAACACACAUUUAUUUCCAAAUAAUGUUUGCCUAGUUUCUUUCUUUUUUUUUUUCUUUAAAAAAUUAACAUCUUACUGUGAUAUUUUACCUUCUUUUGCCAUGCCUUCCCCCUCCCAUAUGACUGCUAAAAUUUAUGUUAAUUUUAUUUUUAUCAUUUUAAAUGUCAUUUGUCUUCUCAAAAGAACAUCCUCUUUGCUUAAUGGCAUCAAUUAGGAAAAAGAAAUGUAAGUAACACAUAUGUAUCACAGAGACAGAUACAGAGUGAAAGGAGUGAACAUAUAAAUUUAAAGGAGUGACUGCAACUGAACUAAAAGCUCCCUACAUUUCCAUAAAAGAACAAGUGAUUUCUUCAUCAAGAAUCAAGACCAUACUAAAUGUAUUACUUUUAUUUCAGCAGCUGUAUUUCUAAAGUCACCAUAAUUAUAAGACAGAAAAACUUCCAGAUAUUUAUGAAACAAAUACAAUGAACAAAUUAUCUUCAAAGUAUCCAGUGAAAGAGGGCUUGAAUGUGAAAAAGAAUUUCCCAAAGCACUAGGUCCAUCUUUACCAUGGCAUUAAUGCUAGGAUCCAUUUACAACAUAUUGUGUAGGGGCAGAUUCUCGAUUCCCCAUUUUGCCUGGCGUGUCCUAUUACCUGACAAUCAAUAAGUUCACCAUUCAUACCCUAGAUCUAUUUUCACAUAAUUUCCUUCCCACAUAUGCAGUAUUUAACACUUCCAAAUAAUCAGAAUCCUUUUCUUUGUUUCUUUUUUUUUGAAGCCAAUCAGUAUUAACAGCCCUUUUCUUCUGUUAGUCGAAAUAACAGAAAAUGUAAAUGAGGUGACAAAAAAUAUACAUGGCUCCUAUUGGAGAUAAUAAUAAACGGAAAAUCUGGAGCUAACAUUCAAUUUUGCUUAUGCAAAAAUCCAAGUUCGCACACUGUCCACACAGCCUAUUAAAAGGGGAUUAUGCAGAUAACCAUCAUUUCCUGGUCUACACAAAUUCAAUCUUGAUAUUUAGACUGUGCUAUUUGUGACAUUUUAUAAAUCCACGUUUUCUGAUUAUAUAUUUAAUGUGGGUUUAUGUACAAAACUGUUAUUGAAUCCUUGUCUUGUGUAUUGUCUAAGGUUUAUUAUAUAAAAAACUAUUUGAUUAAUAUUUAAAACCACUUAUUCCUUUAUUAUCCAUUUAAGCAACACAUAUUUGAAAGUCCAGGUGGUAUGUGUUCCUUAGACAGUGGGUAACUAGGAAACAAAAGAGGGAGAAUCCUUCCUCUAAUCAAUCUUACAAUCCAGUGGGAAAGAGAGUCAACAAGCUAGUGAACAAAUAAAUAACAGCAGUAAAAAUAUUUCUCUCACUUGAUAUGUUCUAUCAAACUUCCCUUUUAUCAGGUAGUGAGAAUUACAUGGUUUAUUAUGUUAUUUAUUUUAUGUGUAAUUUUAUUUCACGUUUAUAUUUAAAUUUUAUAUGAUUUUAUUUCACAUUUAUAUUUAAAUUUUAUAUGAUUCAACAUUAUGUAAUAUCAUAAUUAUAUUAAUUAAAAGCCUUCAACAGGAAGAAUGACAUAAAAACAGAAAGGGUUGGAUAUCAAAAGAUCUGAGUUUUAACUUUCACAGCUUCAGUUUUACCUGUGAGAUCUCUGUGUUCAACCUCUGGUUUCUCAUCUCAAUAUGAAAUUAAAUAACACCUGCCCUUUCUAUUUUAUUGUUUUCAGAAACAAAUAAGAUCAAGUAUACGAAGGUUGACAUAUGUAAUUACUAUGAUCUGAAUGUUUGUGUACCCCCAAACCUAAUUCCCAGUGUGAGGGUAUUUUGAGGUGAGGUUCCUCAGAGGUGAUUAUAUCUUGAAGUGGAGUCCUCAUGAAUGUGCUUAGCGCCCUUUCCGAGACCUCAGAGAACCCUUUCCCCUUUCACCAUGUGAGGACACAGCAAGAAGGCAUGGUCUAUGAAUCAGAAAGCAGGGCCUUACCAGACUUUAACCUGCCAGUGCCAUGACUUUGAACUUCUCAGCCUGGAGAAAUGUGGGAAAUAAAUUUCUGUUUUUUUCACAAGCCACCUAGUUUAUAGCAUUUUCUUAUCGAAGCCCAAAUAGACCAAGACAGUAAUCUAGAAAUAUAAGACAUUAAGGAAUCUUUGCUCAAUUAAAGACAUAAAUUGAACUAGAUUUAUUUUCUCUCUUAAA
rnacentral:lncRNA from 10 species